rnacentral:rRNA from 1 species
CUGUCCCAGUUCGGACUGGAGUCUGCAACCCGACUCCACGAAGUUGGAUUCGCUAGUAAUCGCGCAUCAGCCAUGGCGCGGUGAAUACGUUCCCGGGCCUUGUACACACCGCCCGUCAAGCCAUGGGAGCCGGGGGCGCCUGAAGUCCGGGACCGCGAGGACCGGCCUAGGGCGAAACCGGUAACUGGGGCUAAGUCGUAACAAGGUAAC